rnacentral:misc_RNA from 1 species
ACUAAAUGUAUUUUAACCUAAAAACCUGUGAGAUUUUGUAGCAUGAUUAUAAAUAUUAUAAGAAAGACUUGUUGAAAACCGAAGUGAACAUUGUUCAAAUUGAGUGUAUUAUAUUCAUGUUGAUGAUUUUGUGUACAAUUAUUCGGAAUAAUGUCACCUUCUUAAAGAUAUUGAGCGGAGUAGCCAAAAAUAUUUAAUCUGUUGAGAAAAAAGUGAAAAAAUUACAGUUGGGAACAGAACGAAUGUUUGUUUAAUCUGCUUAGUAUCUUAAGGACGAUGACCUCAUUACGAUGUUCACCGAAGACUAUCUGUAUAAACCGAUUGCGUUCAAAUUUUGUCUAUAGUAUGAUACUGUCUGACUUCAUGCACAUAUUUUCAGUUAACCUUUGUACAUUGUGAAAUGUUUUACUUGUGUAAAUAAACAUUUUGAAAACCU